AUGUCGGGCGCGGGGCUGGAGAAGCCGCAGCUGAUCACGCACGUGCAGCAGUCGCUGAACUACACCGUGUUCGAGUGCAAAUGGGUGCCGUGCAGCGCGCGCCUCCUCUGCCUCGGCAGCGUCCCGCGCGGCACCGGCGUCAUCCAGCUCUACGAGCUGCAGAGCGGCCGCCUCCGCCUGCUGCGCGAGAUUGAAAAGGCCAAACCUAUUAAAUGUGGAACUUUUGGUGCUACAUCUCUACAGCAGAGAUAUCUAGCUACUGGGGACUUUGGUGGAAACCUUAAUAUAUGGAACUUGGAAGCUCCAGAAAUUCCAGUGUACUCUGUGAAGGGCCAUAAAGAAAUCAUAAAUAGUAUAGAUGGCGUAGGUGGCUUAGGGAUUGGAGAAGGAGCACCAGAAAUUGUGACCGGGAGCCGAGAUGGAACGGUGAAAGUGUGGGACCCAAGACAAAAAGAUACACCUGUUGCUAAUAUGGAACCAGUACAAGGCGAGAGCAAGAGAGACUGCUGGACAGUAGCAUUUGGCAAUGCCUACAAUCAAGAGGAGCGUGUUGUGUGUGCUGGCUAUGACAAUGGUGAUAUUAAAUUAUUUGACCUAAAAAACAUGUCAUUGCGAUGGGAGACCAACAUUAAGAACGGGGUUUGCAGUGUGGAAUUUGAUAGAAAAGAUAUUAAUAUGAAUAAAUUAGUGGCCACAUCGCUAGAAGGAAAGUUUCAUGUUUUUGAUAUGCGAACUCAGCAUCCAACUAAAGGUUUUGCUUCCAUUUCAGAGAAGGCUCACAAAUCCACCAUGUGGCAAGUUCGACACCUGCCACAGAACAGGGAUAUCUUUAUGACUAGUGGAGGAGCUGGGAGCCUUCAUCUCUGGAAAUAGAGAAUUCAUUUGUGACUACAGUGAGAAAGCAUACUGCCUCUGUGGUGGUUGCUGCUGAAGACCCGGACAGCCCUGUCCCCUGGUGGAGAUGCAUGUGCACUGCAGGUAUUUAUGCCAGACAUGUUUUUUUAGCAACAGUCAUAAAGGAUGGACGUAUUCACAGACUAUUAUUUCCAAGUUUGAGUCAAGAAUUUAAAAGUUCAGUAGAAAUCAAGGGCAGAGGAGGGGUGUGACUGUAUAUAUAAAAUGUGCAGUGUUAACCUUUUGUGUGCCACCAGGGUAGGUCCAAUGAUUUCACUCUAGUUAUAGUAUAGCACAGUGGUUUUCAACCGUUUUUCAUUUGUGGGCCCCUACAAAAAUUCGAAUGGAGGUACGGACCUCUUUGAAAAUUCAACCUGUGGCCCAUGGACCCUACCAUAGACGUCUUAGACUAAAAACUGACUGAACAGAAUUCAACUAUAAACAUUGCACGUGCUCGGCAGGGCAUUUGAUGCAGCAUAAGAAGGGCGCUAAACUGUGAACUUCUAUGGUAAACUUCUGGGUUUUGACCUUUAGAUGGGUCUGAUUUUGAUCAGAAAAAUGAAAUGCCUUUUCUGGGAUCUGAAACGUUAUUUUCAUAGUCACCUUUUGUGGACCCCUUAGACAUAGUUUGUGGACCCCAGGUUGAAAACCACUGGUGUUGCACAUAGUGCAGUGGUGGGCAACCUGUGGCCCGCGGACCCCAUGCGGCCCGUCAAGCUAAUCUGCUGGUGGACUGCGAGACAGUUUGUUUACACUGAUCAUCUGUAGGCACAGCCACCUGCAGCUCCCAGUGGCCGCGGUUCGCCAUUCCCGGCCAAUGGGAGCUGUGGGAAGCGGCACGGGCUGCAAGGACGUGCUGGCCAACACUUCCUGCAGCACCCAUUGGCUGGGAACAGCGAACCGCAGCCACUGGGAGCUGCGGACAGCUGUGCCUGCAGAUAGUCAGUGUAAAAAAAACUGUCUAGCGGCCCUCCAGCAGAUUACCCUGACGGGCCACAGGUUGCCCACCACUGACAUAGUGGAUACAUAUAGUCAUGUAAGUGCUCCUUCAAAGUAUGCAAACUAUACAUCAGGGAGAAAGUAAAGGCUAAUGAGAGCAAACUGUCUUCCUAAGGUUUGAACGAUUUUCGUGCAAGGAUAAUAUUAGGCGUUUGAUGUCUCUUAGAACCAAAUAAUCCCCUCCACGUGCACACGAAGUAUGAUGCUGAAGAGCACAUGCCCUUAAAUCAUUUUAGAUGGCGACUUCCUUCUACUUGUAAAUCCUGGAUGCAGCCCUGCUGUUGAAGGUGAGAGCAUGGAGAUUAAAAGAACAAGCUACUCUGAUUCUAAAAUCUGCUAUUAGAGAUAUUAAUGCUUAUAACAUUUGAUCAUAAGUGAAAUGUAAUAUAAUAAUUGAAAAAGUAACACAGAGGAGUUUGCCUCUGUCAUUAACCUGUGGAUCUAUUUCUAAUGUGAAAUGCUUUGUAUCAAUUAGGCACCUUGUGAAACGGCUCAGAGCAGAGAUGCAUGGAAAAAUAAAUAAGGCGAGUUACAAU